AAAGCGUGCGCAGGCGGUUAUGUAAGACAGAUGUGAAAUCCCCGGGCUCAACCUGGGAACUGCAUUUGUGACUGCAUGGCUAGAGUACGGUAGAGGGGGAUGGAAUUCCGCGUGUAGCAGUGAAAUGCGUAGAUAUGCGGAGGAACACCGAUGGCGAAGGCAAUCCCCUGGACCUGUACUGACGCUCAUGCACGAAAGCGUGGGGAGCAAACAGGAUUAGAUACCUCAGU
rnacentral:rRNA from 1 species